UCUGAACUUCCAUUAAUUACAAAUUUCUGAUAUGGCAGAUUAGUGUAAUGAAUUUAAGCUUCAUGUAUAAAGAUUUAUUUUCUUUUAUUAGAAA
rnacentral:tRNA from 1 species